ensembl:lncRNA
UGGAGGGUGUGUUCAGACUCCCCUCCAGUAGAUUCCCACUACCCAACCCAGGCGGCUGGAUGGUUUGAGGGACCCAGCUUAUGCCCUGAAGCAAGGAGCCUACCCCAUGGAGCCAAAAGACUCAGAGAAGAUCACUUACAGCAUUUUAGAACCAACAAUCCACUUGGUCAUUCCUCAAGGCUCCAAAAAAUAGACCUUUGAACAAUGACAGCUGGAAGAUCCUGAGGCAUCAGACACGGCUAAUAGAGGAUUCUCCUCCUGUU